rnacentral:lncRNA from 1 species
GGAUAUUUGGGGAUAGGAUAGUUCUUGAUAAGUUAAUGAGGGUUCUUAUCACAAACAUAACCAUGUUCGAAUAGGUAUUGAAAUUAAAAUAAUUAAUCCAUGAAAAUGUUUAACAGAUGAGAACUUUACACAUGUUGAUAGAAAAAUUGGACAUCAGUGGAAAACACACUACGUUUCAAUAUGCAGAGCAAUACCUUUCUAGUAUAAAAGCAUUAAUUUUUGGACAAAAUAUAUCAACUACAAUCCUCAAAGCAGUCAAAUUAAGUUUCCAAUUUAUAAACAAAUUUAAAAUGCUGAAACGAUGUAUGAAAACCCCUAGACUGAUAUCGGCCAAAAUUUCACCAAGUUAAGGGUAUGCAAUACGGGUAAGUGUAAAGGUGUCCAAUACCGUAAGAAAAGGAAUGUAUUUGCAAUGUGCUGUGGCGUAAACUUGUUUGUUGAGUUGAGAAAUGUAUUAUGACGAACCUUUGCAGAAAGCGUAAUAUUUAUGUUAGAAAAUAAAGCUAAAAUCCCCAGUGGCUUAACUAUUCGUUAUAAUGUACACGUGAUUGCAAACAUAUUAUAUCCAGAAUUAUGCAUAUCAAUAUA